ACGCUCAACACCUACGGGGGCAGCAGUGGGGAAUAUUGCACAAUGGGGGAAACCCUGAUGCAGCGACGCCGCGUGAAGGAAGAAGUAUCUCGGUAUGUAAACUUCUAUCAGCAGGGAAGAAAAUGACGGUACCUGACUAAGAAGCCCCGGCUAACUACGUGCCAGCAGCCGCGGUAAUCUGAGCGGGCUGGCAAGGC
rnacentral:rRNA from 1 species